rnacentral:lncRNA from 1 species
GGGGCACAUUUUUUCGAGCUUGAACAACAGGGUAGAUGAAUAUAUAUCUAAGUGGUGAAAUGAAUUAUGAAUGGAACCUCUAAGAGGACCUUUGGAUGACAAAAGUAAUGCCCCCAAUCCUUCUCCAGAACUUUUCCCAUUGCUUUCUAUCUUCCUCCACGCCGUUAUAACACCGUAAUUUCACGGCGCUGGGACGCCGUUUACGGUUGUAAGGUACCAACGGCGUCACGGAAAUGGCGGCCGCCAUGGAAAUCUACUUCAUUUGGGCUAAACUACUGCUUGAACAGAAGAAACACCAAAUUUCAUUAGCACCCCCUCUGCUUUGAUGUUACACCCUUUUUAUCAUGUUUUGUAGAUUAACAAGUGGGAUUUCCCAAACUUUUUAGAUUGUUUUCAAUCGCUAUUGGUUUGAUU